rnacentral:lncRNA from 1 species
UUUAUUUGAAUAAUCAUACCAGAGAAAUAAACAGGGGAAUUGCAUGAGGAGCGAGUGGUGGGGAUGGAAUGCUUGUGUUCGCCGUAAGAUGAAGGAUAUGAGAAGAGGGGAGACUGAAUUGGGUCGAACGGAGAUGACCGGAAAAUGCAUCUGGUGGCGGAGAAACUGAAAUAGGCGGCGGAGAAAAGGGCGGAGAAAAGGUAGAAGAGAGAGAAACAGAGGAGUUUUGAUUGGCAGAGAAGUGGUUUAGAGAAUGUAGCACCACCCUUCCCCAUUCUAUUUUAACAAC